AGUAAUAAGAAGUAAGUGAAGGAAGAGAGAAAGGAGAAGUCAGGAGAGAGGAAAAUGAAAAUCUGAAAGCAUUACUGUAGAGGUCACAAGAAGAAGAGGAAGAAGGAAGGAAGGAACGAUGUGUGUGUGUGUCAAGCUUUAGUUUUCGCUUUAAAGAACCCUACAUUUUUUUCUAAGGCCAGCUUGUAAUAUCAGGUGAGACAGAGCGUGAACGUCCAUAGUUUGUAAUCCAUAAGUGAGAAACAUUUCACAAGACUCCAGGCAACAAAAAUUUUCCCAUUGUCGUAAUCUGCGUUUUUGAAUAGUAAUUUGUUAGCUAGCUGAUUCAACAUGGGGAAUGUCAACAAGACCAUGACAGAGGUGACUCGGAAGAAUCAGGAAUUCAUGUUGGAGACUCAGAGGGUUCAGCUGGAGAGACAGAUACACAUGCAGAACGAAAUGCGUGAGAAAAUGAUGUCGAUGCAGAUUGCUCGGUCCAGAGAGCUGCUAUACUGGUUUGGCUCAUUUUACAUUGUUGCGGCAAUAGGAAUGAUGACUGGGUUUCGACGGACUCGUAAACCUGGCACACUUGUACCCUUGCUUCCUCUCUCUUUUAUUCUGGCGUACCAAGCUGAUUUAGCAUAUGGAUCGAAGCUCAACCGGAUCAAAAUGGAGGCUGAGAACAUCCUUAUGUUUGAGCGUGACCUGGUAUCCAUGCCUAUGGGGGUCCCUACCCCAUCCACCAUCGAUGAGGCUCGGGAACGUCAGGAGGAAAAUAAGCGACUUAACAAGGCUCUUCAUCAGCAUCGUAGUGGGUAUUACUAGCCCACUCCUCCCACACCGCUACUCUCCUUACUUUCCUUUGUACAUUCGUCAGUUCCAAGAUACUUGGAAAGAUUAGAAAUGGGAGACUUUCAGUAAAGAGAUUCGGGCUGUAGACGACUGCUUGGUUGCUUGUGAACGUGUAGUACGUAAGACUUCUUUUUGUUUCCUUAUUUAAACUGUUGUGUUUCAGAAAUGAUUUUAUUGAUUAUUGUUUGUAUGUUUUAAUUUCUUUUCAUAGAUAUUCAUUUAAAAGAAAUUAUGCACUACUUAUUUAGAAUAAUUUGUCAUCAUAGAUUCUUAUUUAAAUCUAUCUAUCAGAAUAAAUGAAGCUUAACUGCCUUUGCUUAGGCUUCAGUAUAGUCUUAUUUUCAUUUUUAUGUGAUGUAUGUAGUUUGGCACAGAAUUUCAUUUUUUAGCUAUUCUCUUUUACAGUGUAUUUUCUUUUUUUACAUCUCAAGUUAUUUUUUGUGGUUGAUGUGAUAGGCAGCUAAUAGGUCUUACUGGAAUCUUGUAUCAGUGUCCUAACUCAUUGAUAUUUACAAGUAAUUGCAUGAUAGCUCCAGUCCACACACAUGCAUAUGAAUGCACUCCAUUAUCUUCAUCACUUGACUUAUAACUCAGUAAAAUUUUCCAUCAUGUUCAAUGUCCAACCCUUCUUAGGAUUUAGAAAGGCACUAAAAUCUUGUGGCUGUCCACAGCUAUAAAAUUUCCAGGAACAAAGUAGUUGAUCUCAUUAGUUACAACAAACCAUGUCACAAAAAGAAAAGUACAAUAUUUAGUGAAAGUCCUCAUGACUAAAGUUUAUUAUAAUAUAGUAAUAUUGUUGGACUGGCUCUUGAGAAAUCAUACUUGAAGUAUCAUGAAGGGUUAUUAGAACAGGAUUGCUUUGGAAGCUGUAAUAUAUUAAUGAUUACUGAUAGUUUGGAAAAAGACACAAGAAAAGAAAGAAGAAAACGCACACUUGUAAACAGUGUAUUUCAGGCAGUUACAAUGUCCUUUUAUCAUGGUUAAGGGAUAACAGGAACCAGUGAAGUUGUUUGGAAUUACAUUUGCUUACUAGUGAAUGUAUUCUUCUGUCACUAGUCAUCAUGCCACACUCACUCCAGAAACAGGAACUGCAGGAAGGACCAAAAGGAUGAUGACCAAUGAAUUCAAUGUUUCAGUUACAAGAAGCUAAGUUUAUUGAACAUAAGAUGCUAUUUGUGUGUUGGACGGUCUUGUCAGUCAGUUAUCCUGUUCAUGAGUGCAUUGGGAAAUGAGCAAUGAAAUUUGGAGUGAUUCUGAAAUACAGAUCUUGUGUUGUAUGUUUUGCUACAUGGAUAAUAUGUAAAACAUUGGGUGAGAUGGAAUAUUUUUUCUUUGGGAAUACUGAGGGAUGAGAGUAGGUGAAAAACUUCAGGAUAAAGUUACUUUACUAUCACUAAAGGCUCUCCUUGCUUAUGAUAAACUGUACUAUUUUUUUUCCAUUUAAGAAGUGUGAUAAUUUGUGGCGAUAAAACUUUGGCAGCUAUUUAAGUUAGUUUUAAACAAGCAGAUGUAUGGAAAAAAUUAUGGUGAGAUAGAUUGCACAGUGUCAGUGUGAGAGAUGCCCUAACAAAUACAGUGCUGAGGAGACUGGCUUUAAAUAUUUGUAGCAGAUGAGACAAAGAAUGAUAAGGAGAGGCAAGUAAAAACCAGAAGUAGAGGAUAAGCUACUGGCAGAUGGACCAGGCAUGGAAUGAGAGUCUGGAAGGAAAGAUUCAAAGACAAUAUUUACCUAAUUUUCAGAAAGUUUUAUUACUCAAUCAAAAACUCAUUUACAAGCUGACGUAGUUAACUUUCAAACUUGGUAAGCUGUCAGUAAAUAAGGCUGGUCUACUUCAGUGUGGAAUCUACUUUUUGAAAUUAUGAUGGGUACACAUAGUGAUGAUUUUAAAGGGCUGAUGCAUCAGCUUCAUGUCACAAGUUCUUCCUUUUUUAAAUGGUGUCAAGAGAUUUUGUUUCCCUCAUUAAGUAUGUUUAGUAUUACUGCAGUCAGUGGCAUGGGUUUAUUCUUGAACACAUGACAUUAAUAUGUAAAUUCAUGAUCUGCCUUCAUGCCCACAGGUUGCAUCAUUAGUGCAAUAUAUACUAAUAACAUUAGCAGAUUUCAGUAAUUAACAUGGUUGACUCAUGACUGAGAGGUCCUGGGUUUCAAUCCUUUGCUGGGUGAAGACAAUUUGGGCAUACCUCCUUUCACACUAUUGACUCUGUGCACCAAGGAGAGAAUAGGUAUGGGUUGUAAGUCUAGGAGUUGUAUUUCACACUAUUGACUCUGUGCACCAAGGAGAGAAUAGGUAUGGGUUGUAAGUCUAGGAGUUGUAAUGUUGGAGUUUGGCAAAUCCUAUUAGACAUCCUAAGCCAGCAUACCGUGGUUUAUGGUUCAACACCAUUAACCAUUGCAGGGAAGCUUUGUCUUGCAGUGGAAUCAUACAAGCUGAUGUUCAUUAUUGUUAUCAUGACAAUGAUGACUUUUAACAGUGGACACAGAUGAGUAUGUUUGGAAGAACUGUUGACUACUGAUGUCUACAAUAUUGAGGGGAGUGAUUUAUAGUUCAGUGUCAAAAAACAAACAAGGUAUUAACUAGCAGGCAAUGUAUUUACAUUCUGGUAAAGUGAAUAGAAAAAAAUCCUGGAGGGUACAGUAUAUGAGUGAGUAGAGUUACUAAACCUUGGCAGUGAUGUGCUUGGAGUGCCUAUUUGGAAACUAGUUCCAGCAUAUGGUUGCUGGAAGGCAUCCAAUCGUAAAUCCAGGCUCCAAUUGAUCCAUAUCAGCUACAUCAGAUGUGGAACAAGUACUGGCAUAGAAGAAAAGGACCAACAAUGAGAGGAAAAUCAUGUGGACUUUAUCUAUUUGUUGGUGUGUGGGAUAUGCCAGCCAUUCACUCAUGAUUUAACCUCAACUUAAUUAAUUUAACAUUUUCAUAUAUGUAUAUAUAAGACAUUAUAUAAUUUUUAUGUAUAUAUAUUUUUUAAAGAAUAUACAUUUUUACCCAAUUCCCACCAUACAGUUUUUUGGUUAUGCAUCAUCAAAUUGAACCUAACUUCAUUUGCUGAAGUAUCAAGAUCAUUUUCCUUUUCUCCCGAGGUGGCCUUUUAUAGAUAGGCUCCUUUCACCUGCAUGUUUGUAGACACUUAUAAUGAAAAGGCUGUCUUAACCUUCACCACCAGUUUUCUUCCUUCCCCUUCUUUUCUCAUUCUCUCCAUUUUCCACAUUCAUUUGAAUCAACCUUUUGCAAGCAUUUAUUCUCAAUGAAGUAGUAUUCCUGCACAGAACUGUACAUACCUACUCAGGCUUAUUCUUUCUAUCUUCUCUAUGGAUAAAUCAGUUCAUUUUCUCUUGCAAAGAUACAUAAUGGAGUAUGGGGUCAGCUGGUUAAAGGAAGCAUAUAUUCAUAAUUAAGUGUUACAAAAUUUUGAAGGUUGCUUUGUUGACUAACACACAAGGAGUGAAUGAUUUUACACUUAAUGUGACUUGAAGCAGCUUGAUAGUAUUUGCUCCACAAUAAAAUGAAAUAGUAAUAUUGGUAGCUGUGUUACACUUGUUUGUGUGCUGAGUUAUGGUAAUAAAUCCAUUAAGAAUC